UGGGGAAUUUUGGACAAUGGGCGCAAGCCUGAUCCAGCCAUGCCGCGUGUCUGAAGAAGGCCUUCGGGUUGUAAAGGACUUUUGUUAGGGAGCAAGUCCUGCAGGUUAAGAGCCAGUAGGGAUGAGAGUACCUAAAGAAUAAGCACCGGCUAACUACGUGCCAGCAGCCGCGGUAAUACGUAGGGUGCAAGCGUUAAUCGGAAUUACUGGGCGUAAAGGGUGCGCAGGCGGUAUUGUAAGCCAGAUGUGAAAUCCCCGGGCUCAACCUGGGAACUGCGUUUGGAACUGCAAUGCUAGAGUGUGUCAGAGGGGGGUGGAAUUCCACGUGUAGCAGUGAAAUGCGUAGAGAUGUGGAGGAACACCGAUGGCGAAGGCAGCCCCCUGGGAUAACACUGACGCU
rnacentral:rRNA from 1 species